rnacentral:rRNA from 1 species
GAUGAACGCUGGCGGCGUGCCUAAUACAUGCAAGUCGAGCGAACAGACGAGGAGCUUGCUCCUCUGACGUUAGCGGCGGACGGGUGAGUAACACGUGGAUAACCUACCUAUAAGACUGGGAUAACUUCGGGAAACCGGAGCUAAUACCGGAUAACAUGUUGAACCGCAUGGUUCAACAGUGAAAGACGGUCUUGCUGUCACUUAUAGAUGGAUCCGCGCCGCAUUAGCUAGUUGGUAAGGUAACGGCUUACCAAGGCAACGAUGCGUAGCCGACCUGAGAGGGUGAUCGGCCACACUGGAACUGAGACACGGUCCAGACUCCUACGGGAGGCAGCAGUAGGGAAUCUUCCGCAAUGGGCGAAAGCCUGACGGAGCAACGCCGCGUGAGUGAAGAAGGUCUUCGGAUCGUAAAACUCUGUUAUUAGGGAAGAACAAAUGUGUAAGUAACGAUGCACGUCUGGACGGUACCUAAGCAGAAAGCCACGGCUAACUACGG